rnacentral:tRNA from 1 species
CAGGAUGUAGUUUAAUUAAGAGCAUCGGCUUUGGGUGCCGGAGGUGGGAGUGUAAGUCUCGUCGUCCUGA